AUUGAACGCUGGCGGCAUGCCUAACACAUGCAAGUCGAGCGGAGCGGCGGACGGGUGGGUAAGGACUAGGAAUCUGCCCGGUCGUGGGGGCUAACGUACGGAAACGGGCGCUAAUACCGCAUCCUAUCAGAUGACCCUAGGUCGUAUUAGCUAGUUGGUGGGGUAAUGGCUUACCAAGGCGACGAUCCGUAACUGGUCUGAGAGGAUGAUCAGUCACACUGGAACUGAGACACGGUCCAGACUCCUACGGGAGGCAGCAGUGGGGAAUAUUGGACAAUGGGCGAAAGCCUGACCGAGCCACGCCGCGUGUGUGAAGAAGGCCUUCGGGUUGUAAAGCUCUUUUAGCGGGGAGGCGUUACCCGAAGAAGAAGCACCGGCUAACUCCGUGCCAGCAGCCGCGGUAAUAC
rnacentral:rRNA from 1 species